GAUAUGGUAGGAGAGCGUUCUGUAAGCCUGCGAAGGUGUCUUGUAAAGGAUGCUGGAGGUAUCAGAAGUGCGAAUGCUGACAUGAGUAGCGAUAAUGGGGGUGAAAAGCCUCCACGCCGUAAGCCCAAGGUUUCCUGUUCAACGUUCAUCGGAGCAGGGUGAGUCGGCCCCUAAGGCGAGGCAGAGAUGCGUAGCUGAUGGGAAGCAGGUUAAUAUUCCUGCACCGUCGUAUGAUGCGAUGGGGGGACGGAUCGCGGAAGGUUGUCUGACUGUUGGAAUAGUCAGUUUCUG
rnacentral:ncRNA from 1 species